AAAACUGGCUCGGCAAGCUCAGUCCACACUCCGCACUCCACUACGAUAGUACGAUGGCGAGAGCGCCGCGACCUCGUCUUCGAGUCUGAGCCACGUGCCGCCGUGAACCACCGCCCCCGGUGCGGCCGGAGCUUCGCCGGUGGAAUUCUGCGCCGCGCCUUCCUCGUAGCCCGACUCGCCCGCGCGGGACUCUGGUCGGUCUCCGGCUUCAAACCCUAGCUGCUGGCUGCUGCUAGUACGAAGGCUGCGGCUUCAAACCUUUGCCAUCGCCCUCUCUGGCAAUAGAGCCAUGGCCAGGGGAAAGCAGCAGCAGAAGAAGACAUUGGAUCAGUCGAGAUAUCCUGAAAUUAAGAAGCAGAAGCAAUGUAACCCAUAUGUUGCUGCUAGAUCUAUCUCUUGCGACUGCAAUUUUUGGGACACGAGGCAAAAAGAUCUAUAUGAUCAGAUCUAUCGUGAAAAGAAAGUUUUUGAGCACAGAUUUGUGGAGUGGUCAGAUAUAGCUGAUGCUGAAACAUGUCCUUUUGACUUGUCCACUAAGUAUGAGGAUCUUGGUCUCAAAGGUCUGGCUAGUAACAACUCAUCUUGGGUUUGGAAUGAAGAUGUUGUGAGACAAUUUUAUGGCACCCUUUACGUUGAUCCUGAUGGUAGGGAAAUGAAUUUCAUGAUAGGCUCGCAGCAUUGUUUUGCCACCAAGGAAGAUCUUGAAAAGGCCUUGCUCAAAUCUCUUACUUCAUUAUAUAGUCUCAUAUGUUAGAGCCAACAUGUACAAAUUCAGGAGUCCUUUAAUGUCUAGAGCUGAGAUGGACUUGUUUUGUUUUCUCUGAAAGACAAAUGAUCUGUCUGGUUGGUGUGGUCAAUAUUUUUGGGCUGUGAGAAGGAAACCACGCAGAGGAGAGGACCUCUGGUACUCAAGGGACCAGUUCAUACCGAUAUGGAGGUCGGUGCUGAGCGCGCAGUUUAUCACGAGGUUGAUUCCAUCCUAUGUGCCGAAGAAAGAGUUUGCAGAUCUUCAGCCUCAAACUCAAAUCCAGCUUGGCUUGUUGGAGAGAAGGUAUAUUUUCUACAGUCCAUUCUCUGCAAGCAACUGCCGAUCAACCAGAAGGGGAUUUGGGCCCGCCGCGUCAACCCUCCUGAAGACGCUGAAGCGCGUGUGAUGAUCGAGCACUGGCGAGAAGGUAUAAUAGUUUUACUUGUUAGUUGAAGCUUGUGAACAUAGACGUGAAUGGAAGGAGUUAAGACACCCGAUCAUCCCCUGGAAGAUUUCAGUUAUCUACUUCCAUGUUGGGGCUCGUUUAGCAUGAACUAAACUAAUGCUUAAUAGAUUGUGCAAUGUGCUUCGACCAUGAAUGCUUGAUCAAUUGCCAUGAUUAGUGAUGGAACUGUGCUUGGAUGUCUUGGCUGUUAC